rnacentral:rRNA from 1 species
CCUACGGGGGGCUGCAGUAGGGAAUCUUCCACAAUGGGCGAAAGCCUGAUGGAGCAACGCCGCGUGAGUGAUGAAGGUCUUCGGAUCGUAAAACUCUGUUGUUAGAGAAGAACGUGCGUGAGAGUAACUAUUCACGUCUCGACGGUAUCUAACCAGAAAGCCACGGCUAACUACGUGCCAGCAGCCGCGGUAAUACGUAGGUGGCAAGCGUUAUCCGGAAUUAUUGGGCGUAAAGGGCACGUAGGCGGAUUGUUAAGUUUGAUGUGAAAUCUCAGGGCUUAACUCGGGAACGGCAUUUGAUACUGUAGAACUAGAGAGUAGAAGAGGAAGGCGGAAUGUAAGGUGUAGCGGUGAAAUGCUUAGAGAUAAGGCAGAACACCAGUGGCGAAGGCGGCUUACUAGUCUGUAACUGACGUUGAUGUGCGAAAGCGUGGGGAGCAAACAGGAUUAGAUACCCUAGUAGUC